AUGGAGCUCGCCCCCUUCAAGCCCGCGGCCGGCGCCCUCGUCGAGUGGGGCGGCGCGGGCUCGAUCCCCGCGAUGGUGGCGGCGCAGCAGCAGCAGCUGCACGCGCAGGCCGACCAGCUCCAGCGCCUCGUCGUCGCCCAGUGCCGCCUCACCGGCGUCAACCCGCUCGCCCAGGAGAUGGCUGCUGGUGCAUUGUCUAUCAAGAUAGGUAAAAAACCAAGGGAUCUGUUGAAUCCGAAAGCAGUUAAUUCCAUGCAGUCACUUUUUGCUGUGAAAGAUACUCUUGGCAAAAGAGAAACUCGUGAAAUUAGCGCACUUUGUGGGCUUACUGUUACAAAGGUAAGGGAGUUUUUUGCAAGUCAGCGUACACGAGUAAGAAAAGCUGUCCGUUUGUCACGAGAGAAAGCACUCAAAUUGGAGGCAUCCAAGACAGCACUCAAAUUGGAGGCAUCCAAGACGGCUGCCAAUGUAUGCUCCUUGAACAGUGAGCAGACACCUCUUGACAUUGAGACACAUGCUCAAGUUGUCGAACCUUUGAGUACUUUAGAACCAUUGGAGAUGUUCCAAAGCUCUUCACAACUAGUGGAGGUCCCUCAGAGCUCUCUACAACAACCAGAGGUCCAGCAGUGCACUGCAACCCCAAUCCCUAUCACCCCUACGGGAACAAUCCAACCAACUGAUGCUAAGAUUAAUCCAGAUUCUGUUCAAAAGGAAACCAAACAAGAGGAAGUUGCCCCUGGUGUUGAGUCAGAAGAUAAAAAGUUUUUGGAUAGUAUAUUUGCCCUAAUGCGGAAGGAGGAAACAUUCUCUGGACAGGUCAAGUUGAUGGAAUGGAUUCUUCAAAUAAAUAAUGCUACGAUUCUUAGUUGGUUCUUAACAAUGGGCGGUUUGACUAUUGUGUCAACAUGGCUGAGCCAAGCAGCUACUGAAGAGCAAACAACUGUUAUUCUCGUCAUUUUCAAGGUGCUUCUUCACCUCCCACUACAUAAAGCUUUGCCCGCCCACAUGUCAGUUGUAUUGCAAACUAUUAACAGAUUGCGGUUUUAUAGGACACAAGACAUAUCUGGCAGGGCCAGAAACCUGCUCUCCAGAUUGAGUAAAGUGCUCGUACGGAGUCAGGCAUCGAAGAAACCUCAAAAAGAUUUAAUCUGUAAACAAAGGAUAAGUGAAAUUCUCCACGAUGAGUCCUGGAAAUCUGAAGUUGAUAUUACUGAGGAGAUCCUUGCCUUGACUGAAGGUGCAAGUGAGAGCAGAAAGCCUGAGCCCAAGAAAACUCCACUGCUGCUCACUGCUUCUGCUGAUGAGUCAUAUAAAAAGAGUCCUGUGCAGACAAAGUCCAAAGAAAGAAGAAAAGUUCAACUUGUAGAACAUCCAAAUCGGAAAGCUGCCGGCAAGAACGCUCAUUCUGCAAGGACCAUAUGUACAAAUAAUAGCAGACCAUUAUCUGCAGAUGAUAUCCAAAAAGCAAAGAUGCGUGCCAUGUUUAUGCAGGAGAAGUAUGGCAAGGUUGACACAAGUAAAGUGUCUGAUAAACCUGAGACGACAGAAAAUAAAAAACCCUCUGGCUUGGUCAACUCAAAUGAGCCCCCUAUGCCCAGAAGUCCCCUCACAUCAACUGCUAAACAACCUGUUGACCCAAGCCCAUCAACUUCUAUACAGAAUGCUGUACCUUUGUCUGAUAAUCCAGAAAUCCUGGCCACUCCGAAGCUAAACAUAGCUCUCAGAGAGACCCCCAUAGAGAAAUUGGAUUCCAAGAGGGUUCAUUGGCAGAUACCACCAGAGGUGUGGAUAGACCCCUCGUGGAGUGUUAGUGCCGGGGAAAACAGCAAGGAGCUUGACGUUCAGGCACAGAGAAAUCGACGUGAGAAGGAAACCUUUUAUGCAAGUCCAAAGGACAUCCCAUCGAAUCCCAAGGACCCAUGGGAUUCGGAAAUGGACUUUGACGACAGCCUGACCCCAGAAAUUCCAAUUGAGCAGCCACCAGAUGCUGACACUAUGGAGGUGGAUAGCGUCGGAGCUGCCCCUCCAAACAUGGUUGUUCCUGGUGAGAUCCAGCAAGUUGGAUCAACCUCGUCGUCAUCUCUGACAGUCGCUUCUGGUGCAAAUGGUGCAGCUUCUGAGCCAGAUCUUGAGCUGCUUGCAGUGCUGCUCAAGAAUCCACAGCUUGUAUUUGCUCUAUCAUCUAACGAGGUGGGGAACCUGCCAACCGAGCAGACUGUCGCCCUCCUGGACAUGCUGAAGCAGACUGGCCUUGGACUUUUGGAGCUGGUCAAUAGUCUGCCCAACGGUGCUGGGGUUCCAAACAAGCCUGAACCCGUCCCUGAAACUAUCCCUACUUCACUUCCAUCACCGACUCCUCCAAAAGAUCUUCCAGCAAGUGUGGGCUGGAGAUCUGAUUUUCCGACGCAUGUGAGGGCCCCAAACUUGCAGCAGGCGCAGUUACCAAAUAAUGGAAACACACCUUUUGCAAGCGAAGUGCACCAAAGCUUCUCAAAUGUUGUUAGUCCGUUGCCUUCACAACCCUAUACUUCAGUUUCUGCCUUGCCGGCACACAUCCAAAGUAACGCCCCGUCUUUACAAUCUCAGUCGGCGAUCUCAGUAAAUUCGCUGACUCAGUAUGCUGCGCCCGUGAAUAACAUGUUGGAUAGAACCUUGGUACACCAGCAUACCCAGCCAUAUGGCUUGGCGUCUGAUCAUGCUGCAGUGGCCAUCCAUCAGCAGCCAGCGGUAAAUAAACCAGCCCAUGAAUUUCAGAACAUGUCAAACUCCGGUCUAGCACGUUCCUUGACGCCCGAGCCGAAUGCCGCUUAUGCGACAUUCCCCUGGCAAUCUGGUGCUGCUACUGUUGCAAGCACUGGACGGAGUACAACACCUGAUCAGUGGGCCGACCGCGUAACCAAUUCAUAUAAUGACGCGUCAGCGCCCUAUCUUAACCAGAGUGCUUACAGCAACCAAAGCUCAUACGAUGCCUAUGGUUCUUCUACGUCAGCCUCAUCCCAGGGACUGAACAGAAAUGGUUACACCCAAACAACGUCAGAGUACCAGAUGUUGGGGCGUAACGUUCGCCAGCGACACUCGCUAUCCCCGGAGCCAGGUUCCGCUAGAGUAUAUGGUGGCACACCAGGGUACAUUCUGGAGGUGUCGAAGUUGGGGAAUUACGGGCAGCAGAGCUACAAUCCUCCUGUGGCGUCAAGGGACUGGAGUUCCGGGCAGCAGAGUUAUACCCCGGCUGAACCAUCAAGGGACUGGAAUUCUGGGCAGCAGAGCUACAUCCCGGCUGAACCAUCCAGUGACUGGAGUUCCGUGCAGCAGAGCUACACUUCGGCUGAAUUAUCAAGGGACCGGAGGUCCGGGCAGCAGGGCUACACCCCAGCCGAGCCUUCAAGGCAGUGGAGCUCGGGGCAACAGAGCUACACUCCAGCUGAACCUUCAAGGCAAUGGAGCUCCGGGCAGCAGGGCUACACUCCAGCUGAGCCUUCAAACCAAUGGAGCUCCGGCCAGCAGGGCUACACUCCAGCUGGGCCUUCAAACCACCGGAGCUCCGGGCAGCAAGGCUACACCCCAGCAGAGCCUUCAAGGCAGUGGAGCUCGGCGCAACAGGGCUACACCCCAUCCGACCCUUCAGUGCAGCAGGGCUACACCCCCGCCGAGCCGUCGAGGCCGUGGAGCACGGCCAGCCAGGGGGCCCAAAACCCUGACACAUCAAGGCAAUGGAGCGGCGCCGGGAAGCAAGACUAUUACAACACUCCGAGCGACGGCCGGAGUCCGUAUGACCAGCGGCGGAGAAGACGAUGGGAGUGA
rnacentral:rRNA from 1 species